AGUUAUUGGUGUAAAAUGAACCAGUUUCUUCCCCACUUUUUACUGGUAAAACGGCAUAACUUGGUUUCAAAAACUCCCCGAGAGUGCAGCUUAUGUCACUAUUGCAUCUUUGAAAACCUGUUUGAGGGUUAGUAGCAACAUUGUCACAACUCAGUCAUGAGUCAUUCGUUGGAGAGUGGAGAUUACAAAGUUUUCGUGAAGUCUGUCAUAAUUAUACUUACACCGUUAUUGCUUUAAAGAGUGUUAUGGAAGAUCGGAUCCAUAAUACAAAUAAUCAGAAUUUGAUUACAAGUCGUGGGGCAAAAAUCCUGGGUCUGGCCCAGGAGGCAACCAUUGAACUGGAAAGCAACUGUACCUUACCAGUGGAUACUGGAUAACAUACCAGAGACCAAUCUGAACAUGAAGAAAUUACUGAAAAUGUGGAAAAUGCAGUUCCUAGUGCUAGGUCAUCAUCUUCAUCCAGCUCAUCAUCCUCUUCGUCCUCAUCUAACUCUUCAAGCUCUGGUUCCAGCAGUGACUCUGAAGACUGUGAUGAUCCUAUCAUGGAUAAAACAUACAUUCAGCCAAAGAAUGACAGUGCAUCUGACAGUGAAAAUCAAGAACAAAGUGCCAGUGCAGCUGCUGAUCAUCCUACUACAUCAUCCACUACAUUUGUUGCAGACACAUCCACUACAGUAUUCUCAGAAAUUCAUAAUAACUCAUCUUCGAUUGGGAAAGAUAUUACUAUUUUGACAAGUCCAGUAAAAAAAGGAAGAGAACGUAAGGUGAAUGCUCAACAAUGGCAGAGAAAUCAACAGAAGAAAGCUCGGAAUUCCGGAAAAGAAUACAAAAGGAACACAAAAGAUGAAAAAGUAAGACCAGAAAGAAAAAUUAAACAACCUUGCUCUGAAAAUUGUAGGAUUAAAUGUGCUUCAAAGUUCACAGAAGAGGAACGCUUACAGCUCUUCUCUGAUUACUGGGCCUUGGGUGACCUGUGCAAGCAAAGACAGUAUAUUGCAAAUAGUAUGAAAAAUAUUCAACCAAGAUAUCAGUAUGUACGUGUUGAUGGUACCAGACCUCGAUGACAAAACAAUAAUGCUCUCUAUUUCUGACUUAAUGGGAAAGAUAUCAGAGUGUGGAAGGAAUUUUUCAAAAACACACUGGACAUAAAUGAUCGACCUAUUCGCACUGUUCUUGAAAAACGUGAUAAGGUAGCGAAUAUUCUAAUGGAAGAGGAAAAACGAGGCAAACAUGGGAACCAGGCAACAGUUGACAUGAGUGUGAGAGAAGGAAUGCGAAAUUUCAUUGAAACCAUCCCAAAAAUCGAAAGUCAUUAUACACGUGCAAACACCUCAAAACAUUUCAUUGAUGGCAGCAAAACAAUUGCAGAGCUUCACAAAGACUACUUGAGUUAUUGCAAAGAAAAUAAUCUCCCUCAUGGAAAUGAUGUACUGUUUUAUCGGGUUUUUACCAAUGAGUUUAAUAUUUCUUCCUUUGUUCCGAAAAAGGAUCAAUGCGAUCUAUGCUUCACCCACACAAAUGCUAAGGAGGAAGAAAAAGAAGUAUUGAAAGAGAAAUAUGAUAAUCAUGUGAAUGAAAAGGAAUUAUCCCGGACAGAGAAGAAAAAUGAUAAAGAAAAGAUGGAUGAUAAUACAGUUGUUGCAGUCUACGAUCUACAAGCAGUAAUGCAGUUGCCAAAAGGGGAAGUGUCUGUUUUUUAUUACAAAUCGAAGCUGAACAUAUUGAACUUCAAAUUUAUGAUUUGAAAGAAAAUUUGUGUGAGUGUUAUGUAUGGGAUGAAUCGAACGGGAAUAGAGGAGUGAAUGAAUUGGGAACUUGCAUUCUUAAAUACUUGAGAGAGAAAACCGUCGGUGGUGAAAAAGACAUCAUAUUUUACUCAGACAAUUGCGCAGGGCAACAGAAAAAUAAGUUCAUGAUAGCAUUGUAUUCUUAUGCUGUCCAGUUUCUGAAUAUUAGAAGUAUAACACACAAAUACCUCAUCAAGGGGUACACGCAGAACGAGGGAGACUCGGCCCACUCUCUGAUCGAGAGACAGGUGAAAGACAAUUGAAAAGUGGACCGAUGUGGACUCCAGAAGCUUUCAUUUCUGCCAUCGAAAUGGCUAGAAAGAAAGGUGAACCAUUCCAUGUAAACGAGUUGUUGUUUGAUGAUUUCUACGAUCUCAAAAGAUUACAGAGUGAUAUUGGUCCAGUGAUCUGUGAAGACAACUGAAAUCAAAAUCCUGAAGGUUGUAAAGGAAUCUCCGAACUUGCUAUAUUACAAAACUUCAUACUCAGAUGCUGAUUUUCUGAGGCAGUGAUAAUAAAAAGAAGAAGAAAACAAAUGAAAUCGAAUUACACCCUGCUUUCUCAGCUAGACCUGGCAUUUCUGAGAAGAAGAAAAGUGAUCUCAUGGACUUGGUGCAAAAGAAUUUGAUACCAAAAUUCUAUAAGGGGUAGAGUGACACUGUGAAUCUCCAUGAAAUUCGACUAAUGAAACAUGAACACUGGAAUUUAAAAAAAUAUUCUUUAUUAUCUCUCAAUUAUUGAAAUUAUUAUUUCUAAUACUGUACUGUAAAAUAAAUUUUACAUUCUUUUAAAUUAGGCCUAAGCUUUUCUAACUUUAUGAUUCACUUUGAUGUAGGUGUACUUACUUUCCAUUAAUACAAUAAUUAUUAGUGAAUUUCAUCUUAUGCUGCUAUAGUCUGGUCGUGCAAAGAUGACCCUCCAGCAUGAUGGAAAAAUGGCGUUAUCUCGAUCAAUAUAGGCUGAAAAUUAUAGAAAACAUUCUGCUCAAUUUGUACCUUUAUUGACCGAGCUGGAGUUAUUUUCCCAUCUUGCCGGAGGGUUAUCUUUGCGCGACCAGCCUAUAAUAAAUUGUCUUGAUAGGAAAGAAAGAGUUUGAAAUGUAUUCUGUGACAGUAGAAGUAGAUUGACAAUACUCUUCAUUGGCGAACUCUUAUAUUUUUAAUUUAAUUUUUCAAGCUCAGAAUUAUAUGUAAAAUUAAUUUCAAACACAGAACUAAGUUAUGUUAUGUUUUGCUCAUAAUAAUUAUUUACAAGACAAAAUUAUCUUUUGAUGGAAUAAUCAAUUAUAAUUGUCUCAGCUUCUUCGAAAGAUCCUUGUUAACCGUUCUAGAUCAAGUUUAUCUAAGAUUGCAAGUUUUUCAAUAAAUCAUGCCAUUAUUCAUUUUUUUGUGUGAUGAAACUGUUUUUAA
rnacentral:lncRNA from 1 species